rnacentral:rRNA from 1 species
AUUGAACGCUGGCGGCAUGCUUUACACAUGCAAGUCGAACGAGUGGCGAACGGGUGAGUAACGAAUGGGAACGUACCGAAUGGUGGGGGAUAACUGUCUGAAAGGACAGCUAAUACCGCAUAUCAUCCGAUUUGCCCACUUCUGAUUAGCUGGUGUGUGGGGUAAAGGCUCACCGAGGCGACGAUCACUAGAGGGUCUGAGAGGAUGACCAGCCACACGGGGAAUGAGACACGGCCCAGACUCCUACGGGAGGCAGCAGUGGGGAAUAUUGAACAAUGGGCGCAAGCCUGAUCCAGCCAUGCCGCGUGUAUGAAGAAGGCCUUCGGGUUGUAAAGGACUUUUGUCAGGGAGGCGGUACCUGAAGAAUAAGCACCGGCUAACUACGUGCCAGCAGCCGCGGUAAUAC